rnacentral:rRNA from 1 species
GACGUAGGGCGCGAGCGUUGUCCGGAUUUAUUGGGCGUAAAGAGCUCGUAGGCGGCUUGUUGCGUCGACCGUGAAAACCCGGGGCUCAACUUCGGGCUUGCGGUCGAUACGGGCGGGCUAGAGUUCGGUAGGGGAGACUGGAAUUCCUGGUGUAGCGGUGAAAUGCGCAGAUAUCAGGAGGAACACCGGUGGCGAAGGCGGGUCUCUGGGCCGAUACUGACGCUGAGGAGCGAAAGCGUGGGGAGCGAAAAGG